AACUUUCAACAACGGAUCUCUUGGUUCUGGCAUCGAUGAAAAACGCAGCAAAAUGCGAUAAGUAAUGUGAAUUGCAGAAUUCAGUGAAUCAUCGAAUCUUUGAACGCACAUUGCGCCCGCCAGUAUUCUGGCGGGCAUGCCUGUUCGAGCGUCAUUU
rnacentral:rRNA from 1 species